rnacentral:snRNA from 1 species
GUACUCGCUUCGGCGGUACAUAUACUAAAAUUGGUACGAUACACGGAAGAUUAGCAUGGCCCCUGCGCAAGGAUGACACGCAAAAUCCUGAAGCGUUCCACAUUUUU